rnacentral:rRNA from 1 species
UUUGCCUACGGGGGGCAGCAGUCGGGAAUAUUGCGCAAUGGAGGAAACUCUGACGCAGUGACGCCGCGUAUGGGAAGACGGUUUUCGGAUUGUAAACUAUUGUCGUGAGGGAAGAAAUUGACAGUACCUCAGGUGGAAGCUCCGGCUAACUAUGUGCCAGCAGCCGCGGUAAUACAUAGGGAGCAAGCGUUAUCCGGAUUUAUUGGGUGUAAAGGGUGCGUAGACGGGUGAUUAAGUUAGUUGUGAAAUCCCUCGGCUUAACUGAGGAACUGCAAUUAAAACUGAUUUUCUUGAGUACUGGAGAG